GGAGUCUCCAGGUUCCUGCCUCUGUAUGAUGCCAUCCUGUGCUAUCAUGGUCGCUGUGGCAGCAGGCCUUGUCGCU
rnacentral:ribozyme from 1 species